rnacentral:lncRNA from 1 species
UUGCAUUGUUCUUUUGGAAAUUCAGUGUUUAGGCACUGACUUAACUUGAUUCCACUCGAUCUCGUUUUUGUUAGGUUGAUGAAUCUUUAAGUAAAUGAUAUACUGUUGAACUGAAAAGGAUAUACUGUUGAACCUGAAAUAUGACAUUUCAGCUGGACAAGACCUACUUUUUCACUAGUUAAGGUUCACCAAGAGCCUUCCAUGGAAAUUCAUCUUCAAUUUGGAAUAGUGGUAUCAUAUGUAUAUAUGUAAAUACUUCUCAUCCUUGGGUUCUUUUACCUUUACCUUUUGCUUCAUUGGAUCCUAUUACUUUUUUGUUUUAG